GCUGAGGUAGCACAAGUGGUAAAUGCAGAUGGCUUAUAUCCAUAAGAUAGUGGGUUCAAAUCCUACCCUCAGUAC
rnacentral:tRNA from 1 species